AGCUCCAAUAGCGUAUAUUAAAGUUGCUGCAGUUAAAAAGCUCGUAGUUGCAUUUCCGAGGCAAGGGAUUAGUCCGACCUUUGGUGGGUAUUUAAUCCUCUUGCCUCGUCCUUGAGUGGUGCUUCUUGGUAUUAAGUUAUCGAGGAGAUAGCCGCUCAUCGUUUACUGUGAGAAAAUUAGAGUGUUCAAAGCAGGCUUAUGCCGUUGAAUAUAUUAGCAUGGAAUAAUAAGAUAGGACCUCGGUACUAUUUUGGUGGUUUGAGAACCAAGGUAAUGAUGAAUAGGGACAGUUUGGGGUAUUCGUAUUCAGUUGUCAGAGGUGAAAUUCUUAGAUUUACGGAAGACGAACUACUGCGAAAGCAUUUACCAAGGAUGUUUUCA
rnacentral:rRNA from 1 species